rnacentral:rRNA from 1 species
GGAAACAACCCAGACCGCCAGCUAAGGUCCCUAAAAUUGGCUAAGUGGGAAACGAAGUGGGAAGGCUAAAACAGUCAGGAUGUUGGCUUAGAAGCAGCCAUCAUUUAAAGAAAGCGUAAUAGCUCACUGAUCGAGUCGUCCUGCGCGGAAGAUGUAACGGGGCUAAGCCAGUUACCGAAGCUGCGGAUUUGCAAUUUAUUGCAAGUGGUAGGAGAGCGUUCUGUAAGCCUGUGAAGGUGUCUUGUAAAGGAUGCUGGAGGUAUCAGAAGUGCGAAUGCUGACAUGAGUAGCGUUAAAGGGGGUGAAAAGCCCCCUCGCCGUAAGCGCAAGGUUUCCUACGCAACGUUCAUCGGCGUAGGGUGAGUCGGCCCCUAAGGCGAGGCAGAGAUGCGUAGCUGAUGGGAAACAGGUCAAUAUUCCUGUACCGAUUACAAGUGCGAUGUGGGGACGGAGAAGGUUAGCUCAGCCAACUGUUGGAUAUGUUGGUUCAAGCCUGUAGUCAUGCCUGGUAGGCAAAUCCGCCGGGCUAAGAUGAGGGGUGAUAACGAGGGUGCUUGCACCUGAAGUGAGUAAUACCAUGCUUCCAGGAAAAGCCACUAAGCUUCAGCUUGUAACGACCGUACCGCAAACCGACACUGGUGCGCGAGAUGAGUAUUCUAAGGCGCUUGAGAGAACUCUGGAGAAGGAACUCGGCAAAUUGACACCGUAACUUCGGGAGAAGGUGUGCCCUGAGUAAGUGAAGAACUUCGCGUUUGGAGCUAAAAGGGGUUGCAAAGAAUUGGUGGCUGCGACUGUUUAUUAAAAACACAGCACUCUGCAAACACGAAAGUGGACGUAUAGGGUGUGACGCCUGCCCGGUGCUGGAAGAUUAAUUGAUGGGGUGCAAGCUCUUGAUCGAAGUCCCAGUAAACGGCGGCCGUAACUAUAACGGUCCUAAGGUAGCGAAAUUCCUUGUCGGGUAAGUUCCGACCUGCACGAAUGGCGUAACGAUGGCCACACUGUCUCCUCCAGAGACUCAGCGAAGUUGAAAUGUUUGUGAUGAUGCAAUCUCCCCGCGGAAAGACGGAAAGACCCCAUGAACCUUUACUGUAGCUUUGUAUUGGACUUUGAACAGAUCUGUGUAGGAUAGGUGGGAGGCUUUGAAGCGUGGUCGCUAGAUCAUGUGGAGCCAACGUUGAAAUACCACCCUGGUGUGUUUGAGGUUCUAACCUAGGUCCAUUAUCUGGAUCGGGGACAGUGCAUGGUAGGCAGUUUGACUGGGGCGGUCUCCUCCCAAAGUGUAACGGAGGAGUUCGAAGGUACGCUAGUUACGGUCGGACAUCGUGACGAUAGUGCAAUGGCAUAAGCGUGCUUGACUGCGAGACUGACAAGUCGAGCAGGUGCGAAAGCAGGACAUAGUGAUCCGGUGGUUCUGAAUGGAAGGGCCAUCGCUCAACGGAUAAAAGGUACUCCGGGGAUAACAGGCUGAUAC